ACAAGCAACGAAGGGCAACAGGAGGAUGCCUUGGCGACACAUGGCGAUGAAGGACGUGGCAAGCUGCGAAAAGCUUCGGAGAGCCGCAAGCAGGCUUUAACCCGGAGAUAUCCGAAUGGGGAAACCCACCGGCGGUAAAGCGUCGGUACUGCGACAUGAAUAGAUAGUGUUGUAAGAGCGAGACCCGCUGAAGUGAAACAUCUCAGUAAGCGGAGGAAAAGAAAGCGAAGCGAUUCCCUGAGUAGUGGCGAGCGAAAGGGGAGCAGCCCAAACCGUGGGGAUUAAUCCUUGCGGGGUUAGGACUCAGACGUGGACUUAUAUUAGAUAGAAGAACGGUGUGGAAAAGCCGGCCAAAGAGGGUGAGAGUCCCGUAUUUGAAAUUUAAUAUAUACCUAUGAGUAUCCAGAGUAGCACCGGACACGUGAAACCUGGUGUGAAAGAGUGCAGACCACUGCAUAAGGCUAAAUACAAGGUGUCGACCGAUAGUGAACAAGUACCGUGAGGGAAAGGUGAAAAGGACCCCUGUUAGGGGAGUUAAAAGUACCUGAAACCUGUUGCCUACAAGCGGUCAGAGCCCCUUAGUGGGGUGAUGGCGUACCUUUUGCAUAAUGGGCCUAGGAGUCUAUGUCAGUUGCGAGCUUAAGCGUUUACGACGUGGAGGCGAAGCGAAAGCGAGUCUGAAUAGGGCGGUAGUAACUGGGAUAGAACCCGAAGCGGAGGCGAUCUAGCCAUGGCCAGGCUGAAGCAUCGGUAACACGAUGUGGAGGGCCGAACCCAUUAACCUUGAGAAGUUAAGGGAUGAGCUGUGGUUAGGAGUGAAAGGCUAAUCAAGCCCCGUAAUAGCUGGUUCUCUCCGAAAUAUAUUUAGGUAUAGCGUCAAAUGCUGAUUACCGGGGGUAAAGCACUGAAAAGGCUAGGGUUCACACCAGAAUACCGAACCUUAUCAAACUCUGAAUACCGGUGAGUGGAAUUUGGCAGUCAGUCAGUGGGGGAUAAGCUUCAUUGGCGAGAGGGAAACAUCCCAGACCAUCGAAUAAGGUCCCAAAGAUAGUGCUAAGUGGUAAGAAGGAUGUAAGUUUUCAUAGACAAUGGGGAUGUUGGCUUAGAGGCAGCCAUCAUUUAAAAAGUGCGUAAUAGCUUACCCAUCGAGAGAAUUUGCGCCGAAAAUGAUCGGGACUAAGUACUACACCGAAUUUGUGGAAUUAGUAAUAAUUGGUAGGAGAGCGUUCCAACAUCGUAGAAGGCGGAGCGGUGAGCGACGUUGGAGAGGUUGGAAGUGAGAAUCUAGGCAUGAGUAACGAAAAGCAUGGUUAAAAUCCAUGCCGCCGUAAGGAUAAGGUUUCCUGGGGAAGGUUCGUCCGCCCAGGGUUAGUCGGGAGCUAAGGCGAGGCCGUAAGGAGUAGUCGAUGCACAACGGGUUAAUAAUCCCGUACCGGCUUGGUAAUGUUUGAGUUGCAUAUUGACGGAUGAGUGGAUGCUGGCGAGGUGAUGAACGUCCUCGUCUAAGGUGUUGUAAGGCACUGAUGGGACUUUGAGGCUACGGCCGAGGGGGAUCAGCAAUAGCUAAUUCCAGGAAAAUUUAUGCAAUUAAUUAUCAGGUUGCCCGUACCGCAAACCGACACAGGUAUCCGGGAUGAGUAUUCUAAGGCGCGUGAGUUAAAUCUCUCCAAGGAACUCGGCAAAAUGGCCCCGUAUCUUCGGUAGAAGGGGUGCCAACGCGAGUUGGUCUCAGUAAAGAGGCCCAACCGACUGUUUAUCAAAAACACAGCUCUCUGCCAAGUCGCAAGACAACGUAUAGGGAGUGACAUGUGACCAAUGCGGAAAGGUGAAAACUGCUUGUGAAAGCUUGUGGUCUAAGCCCCCGUGAAUGUCGGCCGUAACUAUAACGGUCCUAAGGUAGCGAAAUUCCUUGUCGGGUAAGUUCCG
rnacentral:rRNA from 1 species